rnacentral:rRNA from 1 species
UACGUAGGGUGCGAGCGUUAAUCGGAAUUACUGGGCGUAAAGUGUGCGCAGGCGGCGUCGCAAGUCGAGUGUGAAAGCCCCGAGCUUAACUUGGGAAUUGCGCUCGAAACUACGGUGCUGGAGUAUGGCAGAGGAAGGUGGAAUUCCACGUGUAGCGGUGAAAUGCGUAGAUAUCUGGAGGAACACCGGUGGCGAAGGCGGCAUCCUGGACCGGUAUUGACGCUGAGGCGCGAAAGCCAGGGGAGCAAACGGG